rnacentral:lncRNA from 1 species
AAAUCAAAUGCUACAUUUAAAAUAUAUUUGUGUGAAAAAAUACUAUUGUAUCUUUAGAAAUAAAAUUUGUGAACUGUAUGAUGAAUCUAAUUCUAUCUCAAAAUCUAGCAUCACCAAAAAUUGCAUAGGGGUAAUCCCCUAGGUUUAUAUGAAUUUUACAUGAAUUAGUACUCCAUAGCUCAAUCCCCUAUAAAAUUUCCGUAAAAUUAUUUUACUCUUUAAACAAGUAAUUUCUUCGCUCUCAGACCCGUUGACCCCGAUAUGGCAAGUCUCAAAUUACCUAGUCUGAACAUAUUUUGACGUACCUCCCGUGGCAAGUCUCAAACGAACACACCGUGGGUCAAGAACCUCCUAAAGGUCAUUCGCACAUCACAGCUAAGGGUGUGUUUGGUUCUCGGAAGGUUGGAUGGGAUAUGGUGAUUCAUAUUUUGCUGGAUAUGAUGAUCCAGUUUUUUUUUGGUGGAGUGAAUAUGACGAUCCAGUUUUUUAUUUGGUUGUAGGGAUGAAAGUGGAUAUGGUGAUCCAUUUUUUUAUUUGGUUGGGGGAGUGGGAUAGAUGAGUGGUUGCAAUCACCCGGUGAGUAUAACCCUCCAAAUUCUCACCCAAAAAAUAUCAAUCUACUAAAAAAAUCUAAAUAGAAAUAAAAAAGCAGAAAGAAAUAAAAGGGAAGGAAAAAAAAAGGAAAAAAAUCCUUCUCGGAAUCGCCGGCCGCCCCUCGCCGAAGGUCUUCGCCAGCAACCCCGCCGCCGCGCUUCCUCUCUCUCCCGCCGCCGCCGCCUCACCUCCUCUCUCCCCGGCCACCGCCGCUCGCCCUCUCUCACUGGCGCUCCCCAGAUCCGGUCGUCGCCGGCUCGCCUCCUCUCUCGUUGCCGAGCUCGCCUUGUCCCGCCGGCCGCAGGCGCCGCCGCCUCCCGCCGACGCGCUCUCGGCGCCCGUACCGUCGUCGUAGUCGGGUCCGCAUCGUCGUCGUCGUCGGGUCUGCACCGUCGUCGUCGUCGGGUCCGCGUCGUUGUCGUCACCGGCAGGCGUCUCCGAGCUCGCGCCUCCCCCGCCGGCGGCCGCCUACUCCCGCUGGCCGCCUCCUCCCGCCAGCCGCCGCCUCCCGCCGACGCGGCUAUCGCCGCCCGCACCGUCGUCGUCGUCGCCGGCUUGCCUCCUCUCUCGUCGCCGCGCCAGCGCCAGCCGCCGCGCCCGCAUCCCGCCGUCCCGCGCCAGCGCCCGGGGUGACGCGAGUCACGGGACCGCCUCCCUCGCUCGCCCAGCUUGCCCGGGCGCUUGGGCGGCUAGAUCCGGACAAAUCGGCCGGAUCCCUCUAUCCAGCAUCUGGGGGAAUAUUCCUUCUCAGGCCGCCCCAUCCCACCCCUGCCCAGCAACCAAACACCCACAAAAAAUAGACGGCCAUGUCCUAUCCACCCAUAUCCCUCUAUCCAAACACACCCUAUAAGCAUCCCCGGAUGAAAGCCUACCCCCACUACUAAGUAACGUUAACAAAUUACGAGUGCUUUUGCACUUUUGCUGCACAGGUUUGAGCUUUAACCUCAUUCCGGCCGAUUGGAUUUCGUGAAAAGUUUACGGCUUUGAUGGAUCGAGAUAAAAAAGAAAAAGGUAAUACUUUUAGUCGAUCUGUCAUGUUUGGCUAGUUUGGUGACUUUGGUCAAAGACCUCAAUAUCUGAUGCAGAUUGCCAUCUCCUGGUAGUAGAUAGGAGAUAAAUAAGAAGAGAUAAGAAUAACAUGUUAUAAAUUUAUAGCCAACUAUAGCACAAACUAGACAUAAACAUAAUAUGUAUGAUAGGUGGGACCAGAUAUUACUGGUGUAGUAUAUGUUUAUAGAUAACUAUUGUAUGAAUUAACUAUUAAAUUGAUUAUAAAUAAUUUGGAGCUAGUAGUUGGCUAUACUAUUAAACUUGCUAUUAGCACUUAAUCAAUCUCAAGUUAUUAAUUAGUAACUUAUUAAAAGCGUUGACACGGCCGGCGACCUUUAAUGGUACCACCAUUUCACACUUUUACGGCGCUAAUUAAUCAACUCUCGUUUGUUUAGGCUCUGUUCGUUUGGGCAGGUUCCCAACUUCUCUUUCCCGUUUUCCACGCGCACGUUUUUAAAACUGCUAAACGGUACAUUUUUGUAAAAAGUUUUUAUACGAAAGUUGCUUAAAAAAUCAAUUAAUCUAUUUUUUUAAAAAAUAGUAAAUACUUAAUUAAUCACAUAUUAAUGGACUGUUCCGUUUUUCAUACAGGGAGUUGGGUUCUCAACCGCAUGAAACGAACAUAACCACGCCUGUUUGGAGUAUUAAAAUCGUCUUAACGUUGAUUUUUUCACUUACGAUGGAGGUCUUCAGGUUGAUUAAUAUAUUCCCCGCGCACGCUGACGCGAUCUCUAUACGCGGUUCAACUGGUAACAAUAACAUCACGCGGACAGCGGACUACACGUAUACACGGACACGGGUUGUUUGUGUUGCAGACUUGCAGCCGGCUGGGCCUGGGCGUAUAUUAAGUGCAAGUUUUAAUUAAUACGGAGUGAUAUAGAUAACUACCUUUUUCUUAUACUAAAGCUAAUAUACUAACUCCAUUCCAUAAUAAUUAUAUUUCUAGAAUUUAAAUUUCCAAAAAUAAUUAUCACAAUAGAAUAUUAAUUAUCCCAUCAAUCACUUCUUAUUUAAAUUUCUUUCUAUUCUACCCUUAACCACUAGUCUUUCUUCUCAAACCUUAGAAUUACAAUUAUUUUAAACAAAUAUAGUAUAAUAGGUUGGUUCUUUUCUUUUUCU